rnacentral:misc_RNA from 1 species
GUAAGUUUUAUUUUUUAUGAUUAUUUUUAUUUGGGUAUUUUCUUGUUUCUUCUUUUGGCAAAUGUAAGCAUGUGCUACGUUUAUUUAUUUGUUUCCUUUUGGGGUUUUCAAGGGUUCAUCUGGUUUUGUUAUAUGAAUAUGUUGUUUAGAUUACAUUAAAAGGUUAUGAUUACUAAUUAUUUGUAAUUCUGGCUUUUACUUUUUCAAAUUCUUUGGCCA